GGGGUGUUAGCUCAGUUGGUAGAGCAGUGGACUCUUAAUCCAUAGGUCUAGGGUUCGAAUCCCUAACGCCCCACCA
rnacentral:tRNA from 2 species